UACCACUGAAAGGACAUGCCUACACAAGCAGAAGCAGGAAGUACCAGAAAUCUCACAAGGAAGCAUAUUCACAAGAUGUUUGGAUAGUUCAAAGCAACAUCAGAGACGUAUUGAGACUUCGAGGUUCUUCCCUGAUGCAAACUUCCAAAACUAAGAUUUCUCUGUCGAAAGUUGGAGAUGUAGCUUAAUCCCUCACGCCUUGAAAAAAGCUUCACGCUAAUCCUAGCUGUAAACUCCAAAGACAACAUAAGCUCAACCUCAGCAAACCACAGAAUUCUCUAUGAGUUUGGCUGCUACAGAAUGUGGCUCCUUGGAUCAUGGAAUGUAUGUUGAAUAAGGACCUGAUCCAAAGCCCGCUGAACUAAACGGGAGUAUUUCACUGGCUUCAAGAGGCUUCAAUCAGGCCCUAAAUUUCCAGACGUCCUAGGAUCCAGGUAAUAUAGGCAUAGGAUGCCACCCAUGAUCUACUGUGUACAAUAAACAUGUACUGCAGUCAGUAGCAACCUGUUGGCUCACAUCAGAAGCAGAGAGGACUAUGACUGAUUAGCUCUGCAUUACCAGCAGAUGUCCUUGAUGGCUAGUUUGUAUUAGGGGGAAGACGGCUAAUUCAUCCAGCCACAAUCAUAACAAAGGCUGGGAUUUUCAAUAAAAGUCACCUAGCUCUUUAAGCCUUCUUUUGAAAAUC